rnacentral:rRNA from 1 species
UGCCAGCAGCCGCGGUAAUACGAAGGGUGCUAGCGUUGUUCGGAUUCAUUGGGCGUAAAGAGCUCGUAGGUGGCUCCGUAAGUCAGGUGUGAAAGACCACGGCUCAACCGUGGGAACGCACUUGAAACUACGGCGCUUGAGGUCGGGAGAGGAAAGCGGAAUUCCUGGAGUAGCGGUGAAAUGCGUAGAUAUCAGGAGGAACACCGAUGGCGAAGGCAUCUCUCUGGGCCGAUAUUGACGCUGAGGCGCGAAGGCGUGGGUAGCUAACGGGAUUAGAUA